UUUUCGGAGAGUUUGAUCCUGGCUCAGAGUGAACGCUGGCGGCGUAGAUUAGGCAUGCAAGUCGAGCGAUAUCCUUUUUUUAAGAUGGUGAGGCCGCAAGGUGGAUCUGUCAAGGGAAAAGGAAUAUAGC
rnacentral:rRNA from 1 species